ensembl:lncRNA
GGAUGGGGAUGGACGCCCCGGGAUGGGGAAGAUGCGGGAGGCACCGCGCGGAGUCCGCGAGCAUCCCCUGAGCAUCACCCCCACCCCGCCUUCGCUGGUCCCCUGCGAAGUUCUGCCCUGAGCGAAACUCAGGUUCUGCAUCUAGACAUUGUUUUGUUUGUGGUUGUUCUUUGGCUUGUGUAGGGUUGUUUUUUGUUGGUUUUUCUUGUUUUUUUGUUUUUUUUUUUCCAGCGGUUGGGUUCGAGGGAAAACACUUGGGAAUGCUUGUGUGGCACACGGGAAGGCGGCCGCGCUUUGCCCGCAAAAGAUAAACGCAAAGUGCAACGAAACGUGUUAAAUGCCACUAGCCUUGCCUGAAGGCAUCAAGAUAUUUCUUGGAGGAUUCCCCCCUCUCCGUGCGAGGCAACAGGAGGCGGAUUUGGGGUUUCUGUCCUCGUAUUUUCUCUUUUCUCCCUGCGUUCAGGGAGCAGGCUCUGCCGCGCCGGAGCCCCAGAGGAGCAGGUGGUAGCACACACAUGGGGAGCUGCACUGGCAGGCAGGGGGACAGAGCAGUCAGUGAUCACAGGUGCCUGUGGCAAAGUGAGACACUUCAUUUUCCUCCCCAGAGGUGCUACAGGUUAUCCCCACAUCUGACACCUCUUCUGGAUCCUUCUCCAUUGGGUGACCAGCCUGAAGCCUACAGACCUUGAACUGCCUGCAGCACAUUGGGACUGUGGAAGAAAGUCUUUGAAUGAGGCACAGAGUCACAUUCUGGUAUAUGAAUUGUUUCUGUACCUACAAAGCCAGCCCACACCAUCAGAGUGCUCUGCAACAUCCUGUCCUCAAUCUCUGCACAUGGAAAUAGCAGGAAAAUGGAUUCAUAGAAUCAUUAGGGUCAAAAACACUUCUAAGAUCACUGAGCCCAUCUAUUCACCCAGCACUGCCAAGCCCACCAUGAAACCACAUCCCCAAAUGCCACAUCUACAUAUCUGAAAUCCCUCCAGGGAUGGUGACUCCACCACUGCCCUGGGCAGCCUGUUUCACUGCUUGACAUCCCUUCAGCAACAAAACUAUUCCAAAAAUCCAAUCUAAACCUCUCCUGGCACAGCUUGAGGCCAUUUCCACUUGUCCCAUCACCUGGGAGAAGAGACCAACUCCCACCUGGCUGCAGCCUCCCUGCAGGGAGUUGCAGAGAACAGCAAAGUCCCCCUGAGUCUCCUGCUCUCCUGACUGAACAACCAGCAGUCACAGCCUGGGGCUUCUGUGCUAUCCAUUAGAAAAAGGCAAAAUGCUAAUUGUGGGUCAGGUGUUUAAAGCCAAAAUUACUUGGGGUUUUUGGCUUUUCCACAACAUAUUUCAUUGGUUUCUGAGGAGAGCUCCAAACUGAAAACUAACAGCAUCUCCAGCUGGGUGUGUAUUCUGUAGUCAAUCUAACCUCAAUUUGGAAUUGCCCUUCCUUGAAAAAAGUCUUAGGAACAAUUAAACAAAAAUACACGAAAUUAAGUGAAGAGCUUUUACCAAAAUUCCUUUGGCCAACAGCACUUUUUCUGUUGAGUGAAUGUCGAGCACAGCAGAAGAUGCUGAGAGACUCCUGCCUGUGGUCUCAGGAGCAGUAAGAGUCAACAUCUUCAGAGGCAGGAAUCACUCCUGUGAGUGAAGAGAGGCUGCUUGUACCCCUCUCUGUACCUCUGCCUUUCAGCCUGUUGUCACCCUGAUUUUAUAAGUUUUUCUCAGCCUUCUGAUGUUUACAUUCUUGUGGCAAACUUUCUCACACACUUUCUGUAAAUAACUUAUUGUUUUGCAUUCUUUAUGGAGAAGGAGAAAUUUGAUGGACUGUUGGUUUGUCCAGUGUCAUUGGAGAGGUGUGAGAGGUGUCAUUGUCACUUUUGGAAAACUAUUAAUGUUGGAGUCAGAAAAUAAACUUCCCUUUUUCUUUACCUUGAGAGCA